rnacentral:rRNA from 1 species
ACGCCAGACUCCUACGGGAGGCAGCAGUGGGGGAUAUUGCACAAUGGGGGGAACCCUGAUGCAGCGACGCCGCGUGGGUGAAGAAGUAUUUCGGUAUGUAAAGCCCUAUCGGCAGGGAAGAAAUUGGACGGUACCUGACUAAGAAGCCCUGGCUAACUACGUGCCAGCAGCCGCGGUAAUACGUAGGGGGCAAGCGUUAUCCGGAUUCACUGGGUGUAAAGGGAGCGUAGACGGCCAUGCAAGCCUGGAGUGAAAGCCCGGGGCCCAACUCCGGGACUGCUCUGGGAACUGUGCGGCUGGAGUGCGGGAGGGGCAGGCGGAAUUCCUGGUGUAGCGGUGAAAUGCGUAGAUAUUAGGAGGAACACCAGUGGCGAAGGCGGCCUGCUGGGCUUUUACUGACGCUGAGGCUCGAAAGUGUGGGGAGCAAACAGGAUUAGAUACCCCGGUAGC